GGUCAAGCGACUAAGUGCAUGUGGUGGAUGCCUUGGCGACUACAGGCGAUGAAGGACGCGUAAGCCUGCGAUAAGCUUCGGGGAGCUGGCAAUAGAGCUUUGAUCCGGAGAUUUCCGAAUGGGGGAACCCGGCCCUUUGGGCCACUCCCACCUGAAUACAUAGGGUGGGUAGAGCGAACGCAGUGAACUGAAACAUCUAAGUAGCUGCAGGAAAAGAAAUCAACCGAGAUUCCCAUAGUAGUGGCGAGCGAAUUGGGAAGAGCCUUCAUGAUUUAGCAUUCUUGUUAGUGGAACAGUCUGGAAAGUCUGGCCAUAGUGGGUGAUAGCCCCGUACGCGAAAACAAGAGUGUGGAACUAGGCAUGAGACAAGUAGGGCGGGACACGUGAAAUCCUGUCUGAACAUGGGGGGACCAUCCUCCAAGGCUAAAUACUCGUAGUCGACCGAUAGUGAACCAGUACCGUGAGGGAAAGGCGAAAAGAACCCCGGGAGGGGAGUGAAAUAGAUCCUGAAACCGCAUGCAUACAAACAGUGGGAGCCCCUGCUUCAAGCACCUUCGAUUCUUUCGAGGAGCGAGCGCAAGCGAGCGACUCAAAAGUAAUUAAGAAGGAGUGAAAUGGGUGCUGCAACGCGCAGCGUUGUAGUGGCCCUGCGAGAACACCCGGAGGGUGUUUGAAGCAGGGGUGACUGCGUACCUUUUGUAUAAUGGGUCAGCGACUUACGUUCCGUUGCGAGCUUAACCGAAUAGGGGAGGCGAAGCGAAAGCGAGUCUUAAUAGGGCGCAUAGUAGCGGGGCGUAGACCCGAAACCGGAUGAUCUAUCCAUGGCCAGGAUGAAGGUGCGGUAACACGCACUGGAGGUCCGAACCCACUAAUGUUGAAAAAUUAGGGGAUGAGCUGUGGAUAGGGGUGAAAGGCUAAACAAAUCCGGAGAUAGCUGGUUCUCCUCGAAAGCUAUUUAGGUAGCGCCUCAUGUAUCACUCACGGGGGUAGAGCACUGUAAUGUUAGUGGGGGUCAUUGCGACUUACUGCGGCAUAGCAAACUCCGAAUACCGUGAAGUGCGAGCAUGGGAGACAGACAUCGGGUGCUAACGUCCGGUGUCAAGAGGGAAACAACCCAGACCGACAGCUAAGGUCCCAAAUGACGUGCUAAGUGGAAAACGAUGUGGGAAGGCAUAGACAGCUAGGAAGUUGGCUUAGAAGCAGCCAUCCUUUAAAGAAAGCGUAAUAGCUCACUAGUCGAGUCGUCCUGCGCGGAAGAUGUAACGGGGCUAAGCACGUAACCGAAGCUUCGGAUAUGCACUUUGUGCAUAUGGUAGAGGAGCGUUCUGUAAGUCUGCGAAGGUGUCCUGUAAGGGGUGCUGGAGAUAUCAGAAGUGCGAAUGCUGACAUGAGUAGCGAUAAAGGGGGUGAAAGGCCCCCUCGCCGAAAACCCAAGGUUUCCUGCGCAACGUUCAUCGGCGCAGGGUGAGUCGGUCCCUAAGGUGAGGCAGAGAUGCGUAGCUGAUGGGAAACGGGUCAAAAUUCCCGUACUUUCGUUUACUGCGAUGUGGGGACGGAGAAGGUUAGGUGAGCCGGGUGUUGGAUGUCCCGGUUUAAGUGCGUAGGCAGAUCCCUUAGGCAAAUCCGGGGGGUUAAUGUCGAGACACGAUGACGGUGCUCCAUUGGAGCCGAAGUCACUGAUACCAAGCUUCCAAGAAAAGCCACUAAGCUUCAGGUAAACGAGAACCGUACCGCAAACCGACACAGGUGGGUAGGAUGAGAAUUCUAAGGCGCUUGAGAGAACUCGGGUGAAGGAACUCGGCAAAUUGGUACCGUAACUUCGGGAUAAGGUACGCCCCGGUAGGUUGUAGCGACUUGCUCGCGAAGGCCGAUGGGGUUGCAGUGAAAUGGUGGCUGCGACUGUUUAAUAAAAACACAGCACUCUGCAAACACGAAAGUGGACGUAUAGGGUGUGACGCCUGCCCGGUGCCGGAAGGUUAAUUGAUGGGGUGCAAGCUCUUGAUCGAAGCCCCGGUAAACGGCGGCCGUAACUAUAACGGUCCUAAGGUAGCGAAAUUCCUUGUCGGGUAAGUUCCGACCCGCACGAAUGGCGUAACGAUGGCCACACUGUCUCCACCCGAGACUCAGCGAAGUUGAAAUGUUUGUGAAGAUGCAAUCUCCCCGCGGCUAGACGGAAAGACCCCAUGAACCUUUACUGUAGCUUUGCAUUGGACUGUGACGGGACUUGUGUAGGAUAGCUGGGAGCCUGUGAAGCGAGGUCGCUAGAUCUCGUGGAGGCGUCGUUGAAAUACCAGCCUGGUGUCGUUGCGGUUCUAACCUGGGUCCAUUAUCUGGAUCGGGGACCGUGCAUGGUGGGCAGUUUGACUGGGGCGGUCUCCUCCCAAAGUGUAACGGAGGAGUACGAAGGUCUUCUAGGUACGGUCGGACAUCGUACUGAUAGUGCAAUGGCAAAAGAAGGCUUGACUGCGAGACUGACACGUCGAGCAGGUGCGAAAGCAGGUCAUAGUGAUCCGGUGGUUCUGUAUGGAAGGGCCAUCGCUCAACGGAUAAAAGGUACUCUGGGGAUAACAGGCUGAUUCCUCCCAAGAGUUCAUAUCGACGGGGGAGUUUGGCACCUCGAUGUCGGCUCAUCACAUCCUGGGGCUGUAGCCGGUCCCAAGGGUAUGGCUGUUCGCCAUUUAAAGUGGUACGUGAGCUGGGUUUAAAACGUCGUGAGACAGUUUGGUCCCUAUCUGCCGUGGGCGUUGGAAGAUUGACGGGGGCUGCUCCUAGUACGAGAGGACCGGAGUGGACGUGCCUCUGGUGUACCGGUUAUGACGCCAGUCGUAUCGCCGGGUAGCUAAGCACGGAAGAGAUAAACGCUGAAAGCAUCUAAGCGUGAAACUUGCCUGAAGAUAAGUCUUCCCUGGCACCUUGAGUGCCCUGAAGGGUCGUCGAAGACCACGACGUUGAUAGGCGGGGUGUGGAAGCGCAGUAAUGCGUUAAGCUAACCCGUACUAAUUGCCCGUGAGGCUUGAUCCU
rfam:Thiobacillus denitrificans ATCC 25259, complete genome.